UACGGGGGGAGCAAGCGUUGUUCGGAUUUACUGGGCGUAAAGGGCGCGUAGGCGGUCAGCACAAGUCAGUUGUGAAAUCUCCGGGCUUAACUCGGAAAGGUCAACUGAUACUGUGCGACUAGAGUGCGGAAGGGGCAACUGGAAUUCUCGGUGUAGCGGUGAAAUGCGUAGAUAUCAGGAGGAACACCGGUGGCGAAGGCGGAUCUCUGGGCCAUUACUGACGCUGAGGAGCGAAAGCGUGGGGAGCGAACAGG
rnacentral:rRNA from 1 species